UAAAAAAAAAGUCACCAUGAAUGAUCUCAGUGUGCAGCCAGUUGUAGAACUGUCUGUGCUUUGCUCCCAUUACUUUCUCAUUUGACGAACACUGAAGUGAGGCGCGAAGGAAGGAACUGGAAAAAAUUAAGCCCAAAGUUGUCAACAGGACCAGGAUACACAUUUUGGUCUCCCAUCUGGUAUUUGUCCCAGCUAUCAAAACCAACAUAUUUCUUCCACUGCUUAAACCAGCGGCUAUCCACCAGGUACCUGAGAUGAGGACUUAUGCUGGGUCAAAAUCCUGGAACUUCCUUCCUAACAGCACUGUGGGUG